AUUGAACGCUGGCGGCAGGCCUAACACAUGCAAGUCGAGCGAGCGGCGGACGGGUGAGUAAUGUAUGGGGACUGCCCGAUAGAGGGGGAUAACUACUGGAAACGGUGGCUAAUACCGCAUACUAUCGGAUAACCCAUAUGGGAUUAGCUAGUAGGGGGGGUAAAGGCUCACCUAGGCGACGUUUUCUAGGUGGUCUGAGAGGAUUAUCAGCCACACUGGGAAUGAGACACGGCCCAGGCACCUACGGAGGCAUCAGUGGGGAAGUUUGCACAAUUGGCGCAAGCCUGAGGCAGCCAUGCCGCGUGUAUGAGGAAGGCCUUAGGGUUGUAAAGUACUUUCAGCGGGGAGGCGUUACCCGCAGAAGAAGCACCGGCUAACUACGUGCCAGCAGCGGCGGUAAUUC
rnacentral:rRNA from 1 species